rnacentral:rRNA from 7 species
UUCGGGAGGGCGCUUACCACUUUGUGAUUCAUGACUGGGGUGAAGUCGUAACAAGGUAACCGUAGGGGAACCUGCGGUUGGAUCACCUCCUUACCUUAAAGAA